rnacentral:lncRNA from 1 species
AUAUGUGUAUAUACAUAUGUAUUCAUUUUAUUCAUUUAUUCAUUAUUAUAUUAUUUUAUAUUUUAUAGGUAAGGAUAUAUAUAUAUGUGUAUAUACACACAUAUAUAUGUGUAUAUAUAUGUGUAUAUAUAUGUGUGUAUAUAUAUACACACACACAUAUAUAUGUUUAUUUGUUCAUUUAUUUAUUAUUUACUUAUUAUUUUUAUUUUAUUGUUAUUUAUUUUUAUUCAUUAUUAUAUUAUUUUAUAUUUUAUAGGUAAGGAUAUAUAUAUAUACGUAUGUAUGUAUAUGUAUGUAUGUAUAUGUAUAUGUACAUAUAUGUAUGUGUGUGUAUAUAUACACAUAUGUGUGAGUGAAUAUAAUAUAAUAUAAUAUAAUAUAAUAUAAUAUAAUAUAACAGUCUACAGGUGGGUAAUGGCUGCCCCCACCCCCCCCUCCCCGGU